rnacentral:lncRNA from 1 species
GUUGUACCUUUUUAGAUAAUAAUUGGUAUCAGAGCAGAUGCUCUAAUAUUGUUUGUUGACCUAGCAAUCUUAAGUGAAAGAUAAGGGCAACUCCGAUUGAUUCCUUUUUGCCAAAGGCCAAUUGACAUCAAAACCAUCACUAUUUAAUGGCACUAAUUAUACUUUUUAAAAAGUUAGAAUGAGAAUUUUUAUACAAGCUUUAGAUUAUGAUAUAUGGAGAGUCAUAACUAAAGGAUCAU